CCCUUAGAUGUUCUGGGCCGCACGCGCGCUACACUGAUGCAUUCAACGAGCCUAUCCUUGACCGACAGGUCCGGGUAAUCUUUGAAUCUGCAUCGUGACGGGGAUAGAUUAUUGCAAUUAUUAAUCUUCAACGAGGAAUGCCUAGUAGGCGCAAGUCAUCAGCUUGCGUCGAUUACGUCCCUGCCCUUUGUUCACACCGCCCGUCGCUCCUACCGAUUGGGUGUGCUGGUGAAAUGUUCGGAUCGGCCGUUUGUCGCGGUUUCCGCGUCAUGUGGCUGAGAAGUUCAUUAAACCCUCCCACCUAGAGGAAGGAGAAGUCGUAACA
rnacentral:rRNA from 1 species